rnacentral:lncRNA from 1 species
GGCUCCCCAGCAAUGUCUCCACCACUGCUGCUGCUACCCUUGCUGCUGCUGCUGCCUCUGCUGAAUGUGGAGCCUGCUGGGGCCACACUGAUCCGGAUCCCUCUUCGUCAAGUCCACCCUGGACGCAGGACCCUGAACCUACUGAGGGGAUGGGGAAAACCAGCAGAGCUCCCCAAGUUGGGGGCCCCAUCCCCUGGGGACAAGCCUGCCUCGGUACCUCUCUCCAAAUUCCUGGAUGCCCAGUAUUUUGGGGAAAUUGGGCUGGGAACGCCUCCACAAAACUUCACUGUUGCCUUUGACACUGGCUCCUCCAAUCUCUGGGUCCCGUCCAGGAGAUGCCACUUCUUCAGUGUGCCCUGCUGUGAGCUUCUAUGUGGGAGAAUAAGGCUGAAUGGGGGUGAAGGGAGAAGGCGGGGCUGGGCCUCAGCUUCCCAAAGGUUUUUGAGGAACUGUUCUUUUCUGACACCCUCAAAGGUCAGAAGGUUAAAGGGGCAGAAGGCAUUCGGAAAGCUCCCCUCCCACAGUGACACCUCUCUGACUUCUGACCUAGGGUUCCACCACCGCUUCAAUCCCAAUGCCUCCAGCUCCUUCAAGCCCAGUGGGACCAAGUUUGCCAUUCAGUAUGGAACUGGGCGGGUAGAUGGAAUCCUGAGUGAGGACAAGCUGACUGUGAGUGGC